CACGUAGUUAGCCGGGGCUUCUUACUCAGGUACCGUCAUUUUCUUCCCUGCUGAUAGAGCUUUACAUACCGAAAUACUUCUUCACUCACGCGGCGUUGCUGCAUCAGGGUUUCCCCCAUUGUGCAAUAUUCCCCACUGCUGCCUCCCGUAGGAGUUUGGGCCGUGUCUCAGUCCCAAUGUGGCCGGUCACCCUCUCAGGUCGGCUACUGAUCGUCGCCUUGGUAGGCCGUUACCCCACCAACUAGCUAAUCAGACGCGGGUCCAUCUCAUACCACCGGAGUUUUUCACACCGGAUCAUGCAAUCCUGUGCGCUUAUGCGGUAUUAGCAGUCAUUUCUAACUGUUAUCCCCCUGUAUGAGGCAGGUUACCCACGCGUUACUCACCCGUCCGCCACUCAGUCAAUUAAAAUUCCAUCCGAAAACUUCCUUCUAAUCGCUUCGUUCGACUUGCAUGUGUUAAGCACGCCGCCAGCGUUCAUCCUGAGCCAGGAUCAAACUCU
rnacentral:rRNA from 1 species